rnacentral:rRNA from 1 species
AACGACUCUCGGCAACGGAUAUCUCGGCUCUUGCAUCGAUGAAGAACGUAGCGAAAUGCGAUACCUGGUGUGAAUUGCAGAAUCCCGCGAACCAUCAAUUCUUUGAACGCAAGUUGCGCCCGAAGCCAUCCGGCCGAGGGCACGCCUGCCUGGGUGUCGUCA